UUCAGCUAAUCAAGGCAGCAGGGGCA
rnacentral:piRNA from 1 species